rnacentral:rRNA from 1 species
AGGGAAUCUUCCACAAUGGACGCAAGUCUGAUGGAGCAACGCCGCGUGAGUGAAGAAGGCUUUCGGGUCGUAAAACUCUGUUAUUGAAGAAGAACGUGUGUGACAGUAACUGGUCAUGCAGUGACGGUAUUCAAUCAGAAAGUCACGGCUAACUACGUGCCAGCAGCCGCGGUAAUACGUAGGUGGCAAGCGUUGUCCGGAUUUAUUGGGCGUAAAGCGAGUGCAGGCGGUCUUUUAAGUCUGAUGUGAAAGCCUUCGGCUUAACCGAAGAAGGGCAUCGGAAACUGGGAGACUUGAGUGCAGAAGAGGAGAGUGGAACUCCAUGUGUAGCGGUGAAAUGCGUAGAUAUAUGGAAGAACACCAGUGGCGAAGGCGGCUCUCUGGUCUGUAACUGACGCUGAGGCUCGAAAGCGUGGGUAGCAAACAGGAUUAGAUACCCUGGUAGUCCACGCCGUAAACGAUGAAUACUGAGUGUUGGAGGGGUUUC